CAUUCAUACACACACACACACAUAUAUAAACACACUCAUACACACACAUACAGUAUAAGAACACUCAUACACAUACACAUACACACAUAUAAGCACACUCAUACACAUGCACACACAUUCAUACACACACACACACACAUAUAAGCACACUCAUACAAAUGCACACACAUUCAUACACACACAUAUAAGCACACUCAUACAAAUGCACACACAUUCAUACACACACACACACACACACAUAUAAGCACACUCAUACACAUGCACACACAUUCAUACACACACACACACAUAUAAGCACACUCAUACACACAUGCAUACAUAUUCAUACACACACCUAUAAGCACACUCGUACACACAUGCAUACACAUUCAUAUAUACACACACACAUAUAAGCACAUUCAUACACAUGCACAAACAUUCAUACACACAUACAGUAUAAGAACACUCAUACACAUGCACACACAUAUAAACACACAUACACACAUGCACACACAUUCAUACACACACAUAUAAGCACACUCAUACACACAUGCAUGCAUAUUUAUACACACACACACAUGCAGUAUAAGAACACUCAUGCACAUACACUCACAUAUAAGCACACAUACACACAUUUAUACAUACACACACAAACAUAUAAGCACACUCAUACACACCUGCAUACACAUUCAUACAUACACACACACAUAAGCACACUCAUACACACAUGCAUACAUAUUCAUACACACACACACAUACAUACAGUAUAAGAACACUCAUACACAUACACACACAUUUAUACAUACACACACAUAUAAGCACACUCAUACACAAAUGCACACACAUAUAAGAACACUUAUACACAUACACACACAUAUAAGAACACUCAUACACAUGCACACACAUUCAUACAUACACACACACACACACAUAUAAGCACACUCAUACACACAUGCAUACACAUUUAUACAUACACACAUAUACAAGCACACACAUUCAUACAUACACACAUAUAAGCAUAAGCACACUCAUGCACAUACACACACAUUCAUACACACACACACAUAUAAGCACACUCAUACACAAAUGCACACACAUUCAUACAUACACACAUACAAACACACUCAUACACAAAUGCACACACAUUCAUACAUACACACAAAUACAAGCACACACAUUCAUACAUACACAUACAUAUAAGCACACUCAUACACAUUCAUACACACACAAGAACACUAAUACACAAAUGCACACACAUUCAUACAUACACACAUAUACAAGCACACACAUUCAUACAUACACACACAUAUAAGCACACUCAUACACAUAAACAUAUAAGAACACUCUGUCAGGAUGCCAGGAAUCAGACUGAGAUUAGAAGUACAAAAAUAAUCACACCUUUAUUAAUAGCAAAAAAUAAUAAAAAGUCCACAAGUCAAAUAACAAGCCAAGAAUCAAAACCAGAGCCAAAGCGAAUAGUCAGACGAGCCGAGUCAGGAGCCAAAGUGAAUAGUCAGACGAGCCGGAAUCAGGAACAAGGAGAACAACAGAGUCAGGAAUAAGCCAGGGGUCUGGAACCAGGAGGGACGUCAGACAGCCGGGUAAUACACAGGAGCUCUCACAAACAGGUCUGAGACAACGCAAGGGCAAAGCAUACUGAACAGAGGCCCUUUACAUAAUAAGUGAUGACAUCACAAUUCUGAGACUGCAUCCUGUCUCACACGGAUGAUGUACACCAGUCUGGCCAUAAAAAGAAGUGCAGGAAAUGAGCAGCAUCACACAGUAUGCCCCAGAGUCAGCAAGAGAGGAUUCAGACAGAACAUACAACUUUAAACAACUCUCCAAUUUGUCAAAUCUGCUUCAUUCCUUUGAUAUCCUUUGUUGAAGGAGCAGCAAUGCACUACUGUCAGGAAGCUGAACACAUCUAGGCAGUCAAUCACAAGAGACAAAUGUGUGCAGGCACCAAUCACCAGCGAGCUGCCAUUAGUGUAGGAUAUGUACACAUUUUUUCAACAAUAGAUACCAAGAGAAUCAAAGUACAUUUGAAAAUAGAAGUGAAUUUAAAAGUGUCUUAAAAUAACAUUAUCUAAAUCAUGCACAUUUAA